rnacentral:lncRNA from 1 species
AUUCCUUAAUUUCAGGAGAACCCAUGAAAGGAGUAUCAUCCAAUCAGGUCAACUCUCUUUGGUUUCCUAAUGUCUAAACAUUUCACAAUUUAUGGAAUUAUGAAAGGAUCCAGCUCCCCAGAGGAUGUGAGCACAUCUGAACACAAUUAUGCACUGCAGCCAGACAACUGUUAGCUUUCUGGGGCAAAAGACACAGAGAAAGACCAGGAUAAUCCUUGUGCGUGCAGCUCAGAUUUGGCCCCUGUCGCCACA